AGUGGAAUUGUUGGAUCAAAUGGUAAUUUCACUUUUUGAGGAAUUGCCAGGCUGUUUUCCAAAGUGGUUGCACCAUUUUAUAUGUCUACUAGCAGC
rnacentral:pre_miRNA from 1 species